AUUGAACGCUGGCGGCAGGCCUAACACAUGCAAGUCGAACGAGUGGCGGACGGGUGAGUAAUGUCUGGGACACUGCCUGAUGGAGGGGGAUAACUACUGGAAACGGUAGCUAAUACCGCAUACCAUCAGAUGUGCCCAGAUGGGUUUAGCUAGUUGGUGGGGUAAAGUCCCACCAAGGCGACGAGCCGUAGCGGGUCUGAGAGGAUAAUCAGCCACACGGGGACUGAGACACGGCCCAGACUCCGACGGGAGGCAGCAGUGGGGAAUUUUGAACAAUGGGGGCAACCCUGAUCCAGCCAUGCCGCGUGUAUGAAGAAGGCCUUCGGGUUGUAAAGUACUUUCAGCGGGGAGGCGUUACCCGCAGAAGAAGCACCGGCUAACUCCGUGCCAGCAGCCGCGGUAAUUC
rnacentral:rRNA from 1 species